GGCUCUUUGCCGACGUCACUUCCGCUCACUGGCCUGCGGCCGAGUGGAGCUCCGCCCCCCAGCACGUGGUUGAGCCGCGCGAGGAAGGCGGGACCCAGAGACCCUCGGGAGCCGGUGGGACCCAGAAUCAGAUCAAUUUAUAAAAAUACAAGAUGCUCGUGGAAGGACUGAGCUGCCUCCAGUUUCCUCAAAAGGCUAGGAAACAAAGCAGUUCUGGUCAUCCAUCAACUAACCUACGAGGUCCAGGGCCUGCUGUGUGGAAACUCCAGGGCUGAGACAGCUCCCCAGUCUUCAGGAAAAAGCAACUGCCAAAUGGAUUCCCUGAGCAGCACUGGUGACCUCAUCAGCUCUUUUGGAAGACAAUAAAUCCCAUUUUUUUUAAAAA